rnacentral:rRNA from 1 species
CCCUACGGGGCGCAGCAGGCGCGAAAACUCUACAAUGCAGGCAACUGCGAUAGGGGAACAUCGAGUGAUACUCAUCUUGGGUGUCUGUCCUUCCGUCUAAAAAACGGGAGUUAGCAAGGGCCGGGCAAGACCGGUGCCAGCCGCCGCGGUAAUACCGGCGGCUCGAGUGGUAGCCGAUAUUAUUGAGUCUAAAGGGUCCGUAGCCGGCUUUGCAAGUCUUUUGGGAAAUCCAGCGGCUUAACCGUUGGUCGUCCGGGAGAUACUACAUGC